rnacentral:rRNA from 5 species
GGCGGCGAUAGCGCGGUGGUCCCACCUGACCCCAUGCCGAACUCAGAAGUGAAACGCCGUAGCGCCGAUGGUAGUGUGGGGUCUCCCCAUGUGAGAGUAGGGAACUGCCAGGC